CAGACCCGGAUGUUAGCGAUGCUACAUAGCUAAAGAGAAAUGCUAACGUCUCUAUGUCGCAACAUAAGAUGGAGCUUCAACCCCCGUCUGCAAUAAAAGCGGUGUCUUUGAAGGAGGUAAAGCAACUUGUAGCUGUGUAUGUGGUGGAGGAUGUGCAGUCAAUAUCAGCGGUGGAGUCCCUGCUUUUCAGAAAGCUUAUUAGCCACAUUUCAACCAUGUGAAAGCACAGCUUCUUCCAAGUGCCAUGGAAGAAACAGCAUCCUCAGAGGUUUGGAUUGGUCCUGGGAGUUAAUGGCCAAGCAGAUCUGCCUUUCUGACUGCAUUUGAAUGUCAAAGAGUAUCUUGGAGCUGUCACCGCCUGCCUGCCACAUGGGAGGAACACCAUUACCCAGAAGGCACCUGGACAGGAGAAAGGAUAGCAUUGUGAAGGAAAGACAUUCAGAAAAUGAAGACAUUGCAGGAAAGGCGAGUCGGGUGGAGAGCAGACAGGACACCAUACUACUGUAGAAGGGACCCUCCCUGCAGCUCUGCACGUGCUGUCAUCAGUGCGGCCACGGGGCACCCGCAGCGCUGCCACUGCGCCGGGGGAAGGCGCCUGACUUGGCUGGCAUCAUUUUCACGCAGCACUG